rnacentral:rRNA from 1 species
GACGAACGCUGGCGGCGUGCUUAACACAUGCAAGUCGAACGGCGAUGCUCCAGCUUGCUGGAGUGGAUCAGUGGCGAACGGGUGAGUAACACGUGAGCAACCUGCCCCAGACUUUGGAAUAAGCGCUGGAAACGGCGCCUAAUACAGGAUACGAAACUGGCUCGCAUGGGCAUGGUUUGGAAAGUUUUUCGUGUUGGGAUGGGCUCGCGGCCUAUCAGCUUGUUGGUGAGGUAAUGGCUCACCAAGGCGACGACGGGUCGCCGGCCUGAGAGGGCGACCGGCCACCCUGGGACUGAGACACGGCCCAGACUCCUACGGGAGGCAGCAGUGGGGAAUAUUGCACAAUGGGCGCAAGCCUGAUGCGGCGACGCCGCGUGAGGGAUGACGGCCUUCGGGUUGUAAACCUCUUUCGGCAGGGAAGAAGCGAAAGUGACGGUACCUGCAGAAGAAGCACCGGCUAACUACGUG